rnacentral:lncRNA from 1 species
GGAAAAGCUUAGCUUUCCAUGUGAGGUGUUGUUGGUAGUUGAAGAGCAGUCUGGAUAUUCUGCAGGUGUUCUACAUUCAUCAUGGACACAGUAUUUGAAAGACAAUUUUAUUUAUAGAAACAAUUAACACUUAAAAGGAAUCUCCUCAUGGAUAUAGGAGAAAGGCUGAUCCUUCUCCAGUGGUUCUUGUAUAGGCACACCACAAGCUCACAGCUGGCAGCCAUUCUACCAUCAGUGUUGGUGCUUCAGCAGCAAGAUCUAAGAGAUGGGAGCAAAACUGGUGGUGGAGAAAGGAAGAAGCAAGGGAAGGCUUUGAGCAUGGAGGAUGAGAGCAAAGAAUUUAGCAGAUGCUAUGAUAAUGGAGAGUGUGGACAGUUUUAGCAGCUGGAUGGAACUUUUGUGCAAGGGAUAAAGCCAGACCCAUGCUGGACUGGAAUGACUGGAGAAGCAUUGGAGGAGGGGAGGUGGAGGAUAAAGGGACCUUCUUUGUGAAUGCAGGGACCUUCAAACCGAGAUGAGACAAAGGUGAAUAGUCCUCCCUCCUUUCUAAUUCUUUUCUUUUAAUGGCAUUGUUCUUUUCAGCUGUUUAAAUGUCUGUCAGAAAGACAUUCAUGUGAUGCUCCUUUUUAGAAUGUAAAGAAGGAGAAAAAGGCAGAUGUGCUUCUUGAAGUAAUUCCUGUUAUUACACUGGAUUUAAGCAAAAUACAUUUGGAUGUAAAUUUUUGUGUUCUUGGGGACAUUUGCAAGCCUUUGAAUUUAACUAGACUGUGUGUAACUUUGAGUCUUUCCUUGAAUUCCAAAAAUGUUAGUUUUUUAAAAGUACUGAAUAAAAGUGAGAUUUUAAAAUAGGAAAAAUCA